UAAUUCAGAGUGACAAUGGAGUGACAACCACAGCGUCCAAGGCCUUGGGCAUUCAGUGGAAAUCACACGCUUCCUGGAGACACCGAGAGAGUGGAAAAAGGGAAAAAAAUGAACUUUGGCAACGCUCUGCCAAGAAACCCACUUCACUUGGGAACAACCCGUGCCAUCUGCCCUGCUUUGGGAAAGAGUGGUCCCUAGAAGAGGGCUUGGUUUAAGCCCCUGUGGAAGGUUAUAUGGAAGACUUUCUAUGUUCUUUUCGUGACCUAGGAGUUGCUAGCGGGGCUGCCACCAGCGAUUUGGAUACUAUCAGGUACAUCCAGGGCCUGAGUUUGCUUCCGGCAGGCUGAUGUACCUCACAGACGUGUCUUCACGCUGCCUGAAUCCCUUGGUGACAUCCAAAGGUGUCACUAAAGAUGUCACUAAAGACCUGAAGAGCGGGAGCCCAGAGGACCAGCUCCAGCCUCACUGGACAGCAGGAAGUAACGGCCGCGGCCGGGUCGUGGUCCCAAUACCCACAAGAAUGAGGACGGAUCAAAAGACGCUGGGGACUGAAAAGGGUAACCAAAGGGUUAGCAGCCGCAACUUUGUACCCUGACCUUUUUCCUUCGCCACUGAGUACCCCUGACUCUCCUCCUGUAGGGAGGUGGAUGUGAGGCUCGCCCUCCUGCCUCUGGAAUAAACUCUUGCUUUGCUUUAUA